CCUACGGGUGGCAGCAGUAGGGAAUAUUGCACAAUGGGGGAAACCCUGAUGCAGCGACGCCGCGUGAGUGAAGAAGUAUUUCGGUACGUAAAGCUCUAUCAGCAGGGAAGAAAAUGACGGUACCUGACUAAGAAGCCCCGGCUAACUACGUGCCAGCAGCCGCGGUAAUACGUAGGGGGCAAGCGUUAUCCGGAUUUACUGGGUGUAAAGGGAGCGUAGACGGCAGCGCAAGUCUGGAGUGAAAUCCCAUGGCUUAACCAUGGAACUGCUUUGGAAACUGUGCAGCUAGAGUGCAGGAGAGGUAAGCGGAAUUCCGAGUGUAGCGGUGAAAUGCGUAGAUAUUAGGAGGAACACCAGUGGCGAAGGCGGCUUACUGGACUGUAACUGACGUUGAGGCUCGAAAGCGUGGGGAGCAAACAGGAUUAGAUACCCGAGUAGUC
rnacentral:rRNA from 1 species